rnacentral:rRNA from 1 species
ACUCCUGCGGGAGGCAGCAGUGGGGAAUUUUGGACAAUGGGCGAAAGCCUGAUCCAGCCAUGCCGCGUGCAGGAUGAAGGCCUUCGGGUUGUAAACUGCUUUUGUACGGAACGAAACGGCCUUUUCUAAUAAAGAGGGCUAAUGACGGUACCGUAAGAAUAAGCACCGGCUAACUACGUGCCAGCAGCCGCGGUAAUACGUAGGGUGCAAGCGUUAAUCGGAAUUACUGGGCGUAAAGCGUGCGCAGGCGGUUAUGUAAGACAGUUGUGAAAUCCCCGGGCUCAACCUGGGAACUGCAUCUGUGACUGCAUAGCUAGAGUACGGUAGAGGGGGAUGGAAUUCCGCGUGUAGCAGUGAAAUGCGUAGAUAUGCGGAGGAACACCGAUGGCGAAGGCAAUCCCCUGGACCUGUACUGACGCUCAUGCACGAAAGCGUGGGGAGCAAACAGGAUUAGAUACCCGGGUAGUCCC